UACGUAGGGUGCGAGCGUUAAUCGGAAUUACUGGGCGUAAAGGGCGCGUAGGCGGUUAUACAAGUGUGAUGUGAAAGCCCUGGGCUUAACCUAGGAAGUGCAUCGCAUACUGUAUAACUGGAGUUUGGGAGAGGGUGAUGGAAUUUCCGGUGUAGCGGUGAAAUGCGUAGAGAUCGGAAGGAACGUCAAUGGCGAAGGCAGUCACCUGGCCCAAAACUGACGCUGAGGCGCGAAAGCGUGGGGAGCAAACAGG
rnacentral:rRNA from 1 species